AUUGAACGCUAGCGGAAUGCCUUACACAUGCAAGUCGAACGGCAGCGCGGACUUCGGUCUGGCGGCGAGUGGCGAACGGGUGAGUAAUGUAUCGGAACGUGCCCAGUAGCGGGGGAUAACUACUUGAAAGAGUAGCUAAUACCGCAUACGCCCUAAGGGGGAAAGCGGGGGAUCUUCGGACCUCGCACUAUUGGAGCGGCUGAUAUCGGAUUAGCUAGUUGGUGGGGUAAAGGCCUACCAAGGCGACGAUCCGUAGCUGGUUUGAGAGGACGACCAGCCACACUGGGACUGAGACACGGCCCAGACUCCUACGGGAGGCAGCAGUGGGGAAUUUUGGACAAUGGGGGAAACCCUGAUCCAGCCAUUCCGCGUGUGUGAAGAAGGCCUUCGGGUUGUAAAGCACUUUUGGCAGGAAAGAAACGGCGCCGGCUAAUAUCCGGCGUAACUGACGGUACCUGCAGAAUAAGCACCGGCUAACUACGUGCCAGCAGCCGCAGUAA
rnacentral:rRNA from 1 species